UACGAAGGGGGCUAGCGUUGCUCGGAAUGACCGGGCGUAAAGGGCGCGUAGGCGGCGAUCAAGGUCAGAUGUGAAAUUCCUGGGCUUAACCUGGGGGGCUGCAUUUGAUACGUGGUGGCUUGAGUGCGGAAGAGGGUCGUGGAAUUCCCAGUGUAGAGGUGAAAUUCGUAGAUAUUGGGAAGAACACCGGUGGCGAAGGCGGCGACCUGGUCCGUGACUGACGCUGAGGCGCGAAAGCGUGGGGAGCAAACAGG
rnacentral:rRNA from 1 species